rnacentral:rRNA from 1 species
UACGUAGGGCGCAAGCGUUGUCCGGAAUUAUUGGGCGUAAAGAGCUCGUAGGCGGCUUGUCACGUCGGAUGUGAAAGCCCGCGGCUCAACUGCGGGUCUGCAGUCGAUACGGGCAGGCUAGAGUUCGGUAGGGGAGACUGGAAUUCCUGGUGUAGCGGUGAAAUGCGCAGAUAUCAGGAGGAACACCGGUGGCGAAGGCGGGUCUCUGGGCCGAUACUGACGCUGAGGAGCGAAAGCGUGGGGAGCGAACAGG